GGGACGCGCACGUUGAGGUCGCUCCUUGUGGGGGUGGGGCUUAACGACUCGCGCGGACUGGCGGCUCGUUAGGGUUCGUGGAACCCGCGUGGAAACUCCUAAGCCGGUAUUUGAAACGUAAACUCACCGGCUACGAUGGAAAUACCGGUACCUGGAAACCUAACCUUUUCAAAGCCACCUUUCCCGCUGUCACUUCUGUGCGUCGGGGCUACCACAAUCGUCCCCAUGGACCCUACCUACAUGGUGUGGCUGCCCAGAGUGCCUCUUGUACCCCUGGGCUGGCUGAACGGACCGUAUCUCAUCAGUCCUCUUAGGGGGACUGCCCAAUGCGGUGUUGGGAAAAGGAGAAACAGGACGGUGGACAGGCCCAAUGCUGCAUGGUACAGUUGGGAAAGUUAGGCAGGCAGGGAGGAGGCAAAGCAAAAAAUCCAUGGAACAACUUCCUGGAGCAUCAAUCCUACUGCCAGUUCUGGAAGAAAUGAAGUUAAGUAAUUUCCAAGCAGUAUCUCCCCUCCCUGACAAACACGGAGGAAGAGACAGAAGAACAGGAGGGAAAAAGUGCCCCAGGACAACAGUCUGGUCUUUGAAGAUUCAUCCAGGUUGGGACAAAGGGCCAGCCACUCCUCUUAUCUCCCUGGUGGCUCCCAGCCAUCCUUUGAGCUCACCAGCCUUUUGGAUUCAUUGCCUUUGAAUGCUGUGGAAGCGCAGGUACACCCUGAGUCCCAUGCACAGCACCUCAGCAGUCAGCACCUGCUCUCCGCCCUUGCUUGCAGUCCUGGCUUCCCUGCGCACUCGCGUAAGCUCCUUGUACCACUCCCAUCCCCACAGCUGUCGCCUCAGCCCUGGCUCGGCCCCCACACCUGUCGCUGGGCUCUGUGGAACUCUGGAUCUUCUGGCUCCCUCUUUAAAAGCAGUCUUUGGUUAUAUCCCUGCCUCGCCUAUCCACCGUGUGAGCUUUCGCUGGCUUCACUGUGUUUUAAGGGCCACACCAGUUCUUUCCGGGCAGCCCGAAACACGGGUAUCUGUCUGAAUAGGGUGUUGAAAAAGCUCCCAACAACCCCCUGUCAGCCAGAGGGGGAGGUUGGGGUCCCAUUACCGGGCCACCCGGCACUGAGGGAGUUUUCAUUAUAGGAUAAACCCUGAGGGCCGCUGGGUCUGUAUGGGGUUCUACCACUGCUGCUGAUGCUGUGGGUGGAGGAGGCCCCAGGGGUUUGUCGGGGACUCUGCUGGGGACUGGGGUGGUCCUUGUCUCCAGGCCUGGUGCCGCCAGCUUUCUGAGUUAUAGAAAUACCACAGAGGUGAGAAUGACAGUCUCCCCAAAACCACACUUCUUUGCCUUGGCAGAGACCCUAGGUCGAAGCAUGCAAGAUGGGGGAGGACAGCAGCUGCUGAUGAAAUCAGCUGAAGGCAGGGGCUUCACAGCUGUGGUCCACUCCUUCCCCUUGGGGCUCUUGUAGCCUAGAAUCAAGUAGUUGGCCAUCACGUCAUCGCAUCCAUUCCAGCCCACUGGCAGGUCCUGGAUCUGGUCCCACCUGGAGCCCAGGGAUAAUGUCACCUCAGUUAUGCCAGGGGUCCUUGUAGUCAGGGAGUGGCUCAAUGUAAGGCUUUAGUUCCUCUUCAUGGACCAUGUUCAUCCAUGGGUCCUUCAUGGUUUCCUCUAAAGUGCUUCUCUCACUGGGACUGAGGGUCAGGAAUUUCUUUAGUAGGUUUUCACACUCCACAGGCACAUAAAGGGGAAUGUGGCCUGCAUGCAGUACCCACUCCCACAGCUCCUUGAAGUGCUGUAAAGGCAGGGACCUGCCAGUCGCCAGAUAGUCAUUGUAUAGAGAAUGGCUCCAGGCUCCGCACGGCCCCCACAGGGCUGUUGUAUUUUGGCAUAAGGGGGACUACCACAGAAGGUGUUCAGCUCAUGGGCGACAGCAAACUCAUUGCUGAAGCCAAAGUCUGCAACCUUGAUGUUCAGGUCAGCUUCCAAAAGCAGGUUCUCUGGCUUUAGGUCCCUGUGGACGAUACCUUCCUGGUGAUGGUACGACACAGUGGACACUAUCUGGCAGAAUCUGCCUUCAGGGCUCCUCCUCUCUCAUGCAGGCAUGGUCCAGUGUGGGGGGGAUCAAGUGCCUAUGGCGUACUCCGUGACCGGGUUGAGUGUUUCCGAGGUGUCAGUCACCUCGUGUGGUGUCAUGACUCAGGGCCUUCGUGCUCUGGACUUCAAGGAAUAGUCUGUGGAGGCCGAAGGAGCUCUGCGCACUCUUGUUAAUGACCUUCAUGGACACUUCUGUCCCACUCAGGUUGUGCCAGACCAACCUCACUUUGUCAAAGCCGCCCUGGCUGAAGGUCUGGAGGACCCGGUAAUUGUCAAUGCGGGUCUCCUGGUCGCCCGGAUGGCUGUGAGGUCCCUCCGCUCAGUGACUUACUGCUAGCAAUACUAACUAGAAAUGCCCUCUAACAGUACUAACAUACCACAUCAAGAUGAGGAAAAAAAAAAAAAAAAGAACCAAAAGAGAAAGAGAACAAAGGGGAAAAUCUAACUGUGGUCAAAAGUCCCUCAGCUCACCAAACACUGGCUCCCUGACCUAAAAAAACUAAAAAACAUAAGCCUGGCCAAGACCUUAUACAGGGAGGUACUUAGGAUUCUCUCCUGAUGACUUUUCUUGAAGUCAAGAAAUGGACCUAUUAAAACUAGGGAUAAUUCACAAUGGUUCUCUCAUUUGGGUCUCAGGAACCCUUUACUCUUUAUUAAGGGGGAGGGGAACACCCCCAAAGGCCUCUUUGUUUAUGUGGCCUAUAGUGAUUGGUAUUUACCAUACUAAAAAUUAAAACCCAUAGGAUGCUUUGGUGGCCUUUUCACGUCUAGUUUGGAAAUCCGCCAUGAUUUUUGGUGUUUAAAGAAAGCCAUGAUGUCCAUACUUAAAAGAAUUCGUUUUUUUUUUUUCUUGAAACUCUGGCUGAUCAGUGUCAAAAUAAUACCACAAUUUAACUGGUUUCACAAAAGCUAUGGGCAAGGACUCUCCUUAAUUAAACUUCAGUCAUUCUUCUCUAGGCCUGAACCCUGUAGUCUGUCUUUGGCUAUCCUAUACCACCCAACUGUAGCAAGAAUCUUGCCAAAUCAGUUUAGAGAAAACUCCCUGCCCUCAAUAUCUGAUAAUUCUUCAUCUCUCCCCUUUGGUAUCUGUGAGAAAAUAGAACGCAUAUAUUGGUUUCUGGCCUCACCUCCCCACUGCCCCCAGUUCUGGGCACAGGCUGCUGAAACCCUUACAGUUUCCAAGCAUUCAGAGCAUUAGGAGCAUCUCUUGUUCAGUAUUUCAUCUUCAACCCCAGGUCCUGACACAGGUCUCCUAAAUCCCUUGGAAUUUCCUGGGUGGUAGGAAUGUCUUGUUCUUGGUAGGAAUGUCUUGUUCUAAUGAGGCAACUCUGGGUGGGCUCCUGGAUGACCCCUGGAUAGAGACUGUCAUCAGAAAGUCCAAGUCAUGAUUAGAUCUUGGGACGUGCAGCUCCACACCACUACCCCUUCGCCCCCCCCGCCCUGUCCUCAAGGGAGGGGAAAGGGGCCAGAAAUGGAGCUAUUGAUCUACAUGAGGAAGCGUCCAUAAAAAUCCCAAUAGUAUGGGUUCAGAGAGUUUCCACGUGGAUGAACACAUCCACAUUGGCAGGGUGAUGCACCCCACCUCCUGUGCUCAGGACCCUCCCAGACCUCACCCAGUGCAUCUCUUCCUCUAACUAUUCACAUAUCCUUUAUCGCAUCCUUUAAUAAAAUGGUGCUCUGUGAGCCACUGGAGCAAAUGAAUUGAACCUAAGGAAGGGGUUAUUGGAACUUCCCCCUUCCCCUCUAGAGCUGACCAGUCAGAAGCACAGGUGAUAACCUGAACUUGGCAUCUGAAGUUGGGGGGGGAGUGGCCAGGGAAGCUGCUGUGUGGGACUGAACCCUUAACCUGUUGAACCUGAUGCUGUCUCUGGACAGAUGAUGUCAGACUUGAGUUGAACUGUAGGACACCCCAGCUGGUGUCAUGGAGGAUUGCUUCAUGCAGGGGGAAAAAAACACGCAUUUGGUGACCAGAAGUGGUGUUUCGUGUGAGUAGUAAGGGAGACUCGCAGGAGAAAGACUCACGGAUUAAAGGACUGUGGGUUUUCUCUGGUGCAGCAUCUGACCGCCCUAACCUGCCUUUGGCAAGAAUCCUGUCAGGUCUGUUUAACUAGCAUCUUUCUCUUCCUGAGGUUUCCUCUUAGCAAUUUUCCAUCCCCUCACCCUGACCCUAUUUGUUGGCUCUAAAUCCCCAUUUCAUGCUGUCCUGGAGAUGGGGCCCAGUUCUACACUGAGGCCUCUUUUUCCCCUAUUGCAAUAUUCAGUUUCUGGAAUAAAACCUGCUUUUACUGCUUUAACUACUAGUGUCCAGCUCUGGUUCUUCUUUUUUCUUACAAAUUGUUUUUUCUUUAACACUGUAGGGCAUUAUUCUGUUGUGUAAGACACAAUAAGGUACAUUACCAACUUUGGUAAAGCUGAAGGGAAGAUAGCGUUCAUCAUGUUUUUGUUUCUUAUUUCCAAAUUUUGCCCAAGUCUUUGGAGUAGAUUUCACCCUUCCAUGAGCUUGCUGUGAGAACUUAUGUCCAUUACAUGUCUUUAAGUGUAGUGUUUGCAGCUAAGGGGCAUAAAAGCAAGUCUUCUUUAUUUUUUUUUUUAAGCCCACAGAGCCACAUGCUCCAUGUCUGUGUCCUUCAGCACAGGCCUGGGGAUCCAGGUGUGGGCUUGGCACCAAAAUGUGAGGGGUGGGAGAAGCCCAUUUAUUAGCCCAUCUAAUGCUCUUCCUUUCUUCAUGUAUAUCAGAGUUUCUUACCUGUAUCAUUUUCCUUCUCUCUGAAGAACGUCUUUUAAAAUUUCUUGACAGGCAGAUCUACUGGUUAUAUAAUCCCUCAAUUUUUGUUUGUCUGAGAAAGUAUUUUUCCUGCAUUUUUUUGGAAAGAUAUUUUGCUGAACACAAGUCUAGGUUGGCAGGUUUCUGCAGAGAAGUCUAGUGAAAAUCUUUUCUUUGUUUUUCUAUAAAUAAGAUGUAUAUUCCCCCCACCUGCCUUCUUACAAUUCAGGAUCUUCUCUGUGUCUUUGAUUUUUCUGCAGUUUGAAUAUGAUUCACCAAAAUGUAGACUUUUUUUGGUAUUUUGUCUGCUUAAUAUUCUUUGAGCUUCCUCAUUGUAGUUUGGUGUCUUUGUUAAUUUUGGAAAAUUCUCGCCCAUUAUUACUUCAUAUAUUCCUUCUUUCUUGUCCUUUUGUAUUCCCAUUACAAGUAUGAUAACACUUUUACUAUUUUUUUAAGAUUUUAUUUAUUUAUUUGACAGACAGAGAUCACAAGU